GUGAAUGUCAGAGAUUAAAAUUGGUUACAUUUCCUCACAUGGGUUGAAACAACCUGAUUGUUCUAUUGCUGAGGAACACAGUACCAGGGACUUCAGCUCCACCUCAAUAUUUGUACACCGAGACUCUCUCUUUUCUGUGGCUUUGGAUAAGACAACAGUAACACAUUGUUUUUUCAGUCAGCAACCAUCGUGAGUGUAUUAUUGUUGUCGCAGUUCAUCAUAUCUUCCACAAGCCUUUGAGUGUCAAGGAAAAAAACUGAAAAAGUCGCCGCGCCUCUGUGAGGGGAAUUGGAUCAUGGUCGGAGGACUCUUUGGUUCUGCGGUCAUCAUCCUGGUUCUGGUCAUUGUCGGACUCGUUUUUAGAAUAGCACAUCAACGUAAACUUCAAAAAGAUACUACAACCUCAACUACAGGAAAGCCAGGGUCAGGAGCUAGCUGAAGUAUGCUACUCUAUGUUGAGUUUCCGUCAGAAGAACAGAAGAGGGGGGCCUAGACCUAAGGACCUAGACACGGCUGUUGUGUACGCAGCAACCAGAAGACUUUAGGAAUCUAUCAAUCUUAACCAUACGUUGAAUAAUUUUUUAAAAGACAUGGAAUUACAUUGCAUUACUAUGAAGUCAUUAAGAAAGAAAUAAGCUUGCAAAUAUAUCUGGAAAUAUUUACAUUUUGUUGACUACAAUAUGCAUGUUGCUUCUAUUUUUUUCUAGUACACGGGCACACGUUUUGUGUGAAAUGUAUAGAUUUUUUCUUUAAGAAAAAUAAAAACAUUUGCCAAUUAAAGCUCUCCAUGAAUAAUAUGGUUUACCUUUGCUU